GUGUCCUGGACAACCUGUGACCUUCCUCUUCCUCACACCGAACUGUGAGAUUGAGUCUUCAAGGCAGGAUUUUCAAAGCUGAAUAAGGAAAUUAAUCUCACAAAUCCCUUAGACAUAUAAUGCAAAUUGGGUGUUUUCCUUAUACCAACACCUUUGAAAACUCCCACUGAGUUUCUCGAAGUUGUUUGGUGAGAGAAAGACUUUCUAUUUUUCAAACUUUUCCAGCUUUUUAAGAAGUCAAUAGAGGAGUGAGCCAACAAAUAUGAAGAGUGAUAAGAGUGACAGCCAUGAAAUGCAAAAGGAAUGUUUGUGAGAAUAUAUGUUUCUUUAAUGAGGUAGGAGAAGUAGCUGAAGAAUUCUGAUGAGAUGGGAAUGACAGUAAUUAAACCCUUACCUGCACCCAGUGGGCAAAGUUCAAACCCAAAUGAGAGGAGUUUGGAUAGAGAAGGAAUGAAUUUCUUUGGUGAUCCUGGUUUCUCAGUUUCUGUGGAGCACCAGGUCCACCAGGGAAGUGCUGCUUGCUCCAUGAAUACAUCGUGUUUCUUCUGCAUCAUCCCAAAAUUCAUUAAAACUAUGGAUGAGACCCUGGAA